rnacentral:rRNA from 1 species
AGUAAUGCAUAGGAAUCUGCCCGGUAGUGGGGGAUAACCUGGGGAAACCCAGGCUAAUACCGCAUACGUCCUACGGGAGAAAGCAGGGGAUCUUCGGACCUUGCGCUAUCGGAUGAGCCUAUGUCGGAUUAGCUGGUUGGUGAGGUAACGGCUCACCAAGGCGACGAUCCGUAGCUGGUCUGAGAGGAUGAUCAGCCACAUCGGGACUGAGACACGGCCCGAACUCCUACGGGAGGCAGCAGUGGGGAAUAUUGGACAAUGGGCGCAAGCCUGAUCCAGCCAUGCCGCGUGUGUGAAGAAGGCCCUCGGGUUGUAAAGCACUUUCAGUGGGGAAGAAGGCCUUGCGGUUAAUACCCGCGAGGAAGGACAUCACUCACAGCGGGG